GUUUGUUUUGCCCAACAACUGAGUUGGCAACUCCUGAGCUUUCCCACCGUGUUUUGACCACCACCCCAUAGGAUGAGGUGGGGGAGUGAGUGGCUGGCUGUUAGCUAAGGUUGAGCCCCCACACCUCCCAGCACUGAUACAGAAACACCUCAAAAGGUGAGCAGCUGAGUAGAGACGGUGCUUCUUCACAACCUGGGCAGUCACCAAUGUCCCUUCAAAAAAGGCUUGAGCCAUUUCUCUCUGCAACUCAGCCGCCCUCUUGGCAAGGCAGUGUGUUUUGCUGAAUCAGCAGACAGGUGAACAAAGGAAAAGCAGUUUGUGUCUGGUUGGCACCCUGAGAGGUGCAGGAAUGGGCCGGGUAACCAGCAGUGCCAUCAAUGGGGAAGGGAUGGGCAAGAGCAGGGCUUGUGCCUCUUCAGGCACAGGGAAUUCUUAGACUGCCUCAGCUCCAAAUCCACCUGCAGUGUCAGGUGCUUUGCCCCAAAAGAUACUUAACACAACAGCUUAGAGAGGAAACUGCAUCUGCAGGCCAAACAAAAGAGCCUUGGUUUCGCAUA